rnacentral:tRNA from 1 species
GGGGGCAUAACAUAAUGGUUCGUGUGACGGCUUUGCAAGCCGUAAAUCCGGGUUCGAUUCCCGGUGCCUCCACCA